CACGGGUGGUGGAUCCAAACGAGGCUCUUUGGGGCCAGCCACCGGGCAGCGCCUCGGCGGGGCCGAGCAGGAGCAGGCACCAUGGAGUCCUUCAAGGUGGUGCUGGAGGGGCCUGCACCUUGGGGCUUUCGGCUCCAGGGGGGCAAGGACUUCAAUGUGCCCCUCUCCAUCUCCAGGCUCACUCCUGGAGGCAAAGCUGCACAGGCCGGUGUGGCUGUGGGUGACUGGGUGCUGAGCAUCGAUGGGGAGAAUGCGGGGAGCCUCACACACAUUGAAGCCCAGAACAGGAUUCGUGCCUGUGGGGAUCGCCUCAGCCUGGGUCUCAGCAGGGCCCAGCCACCUCAGAGCAAACCGCAGAAGGCCCUGGCCCCUGCCGCGGACCCCCCGCGGUACACCUUUGCACCCAGCGCCUCCCUCAACAAGACGGCCCGGCCCUUCGGGGCGCCCCUGCCCGCUGACAGCGCCCUGCAACAGAAUGGACAGCCGCUCCGGCCGCUGGUCCCAGAUGCCAGCAAGCAGCGGCUGAUGGAGGACACAGAGGACUGGCGGCCUCGGCCCGGGACAGGCCAGUCCCGUUCCUUCCGCAUCCUUGCCCACCUCACGGGCACCGAGUUCAUGCAAGACCCGGAUGAGGAGCACCUGAAGAAAUCAAGAUCUUGCAGCCAGGUGCCCAGGACAGAAGCCCCAGCCCCAGCCUCAGCUACACCCCAGGAACCCUGGCUUGCCCCGGCAGGCCCUACCACCCCCAGUCCCACUAGCCGCCCACCCUGGGCUGUGGACCCUGCCUUUGCCGAGCGCUACGCCCCGGACAAGACAAGCACGGUGCUGACCCGGCACAGCCAGCCAGCCACACCCACGCCUCUGCAGAACCGCACAUCCAUCGUGCAGGCAGCCGCUGGAGGGGGCCCAGGAGCCGGUAGUGGCAACAAUGGCAAGACUCCUGUGUGCCACCAAUGCCACAAGGUCAUCCGGGGCCGCUACCUGGUUGCGUUGGGCCACGCAUACCACCCCGAGGAAUUUGUGUGCAGCCAGUGUGGGAAGGUCCUGGAAGAGGGCGGUUUCUUUGAGGAGAAGGGGGCCAUCUUCUGCCCACCCUGCUAUGAUGUGCGCUAUGCGCCCAGCUGUGCCAAGUGCAAGAAGAAGAUCACAGGCCUCUGGAAAGGAGGGGCCAAGCUGCCUGGUGACUGUAGCGUCCUCCUAGGAGAUCAUGCACGCCCUGAAGAUGACCUGGCACGUGCAGUGCUUCACCUGUGCAGCCUGCAAGACGCCCAUUCGGAACAAGGCCUUCUACAUGGAGGAAGGUGCCCCUUACUGUGAGCGAGACUAUGAGAAGAUGUUUGGCACAAAGUGCCGGGGCUGUGACUUCAAGAUCGAUGCAGGGGACCGUUUCCUGGAGGCGCUGGGCUUCAGCUGGCAUGACACUUGCUUCGUGUGUGCGAUAUGCCAGAUCAACCUGGAAGGGAAGACUUUCUACUCCAAGAAGGACAAGCCCCUCUGCAAGAGCCAUGCCUUCUCCCACGUGUGAGCCACUCCUACCCAGGGCCGCCUCUUCCAGCCCAGCCAGAGGGAAGUCCUUCCAGAGGCUCGCCCCAGACUUCUGGAUAGGGCUGGCAGAGCUCACCCCCCACCCAACUCCUGGCCUGAGCCUGGGGUUCCCUGGGCCCUGCCCUCUCCCCUCAUCAUUUCCCCGCACUCCCUCCAUUUCCCCCCACUCCCUCCACCACCAUCACACACCGGUGCUGGCCACACCAGCCCCUGUUCACACCCAGUGCCACAAUAAACCUAUAUCCAGCCGUG